rnacentral:snRNA from 1 species
AUUCUUUCGCAGUGGCAGUAUCAUAACCUAUGAGGGUUUAUAUGAGGUGUGAUUAUUGCUGGUUGAAAACUUUAACCCAAUGCCUGCCUUGAUGACUUGAAAUAUAGUCAGCAAUGGCAAUUUUUGGUGAUCUCUACGGAGA